GACGAACGCUGGCGGCGUGCUUAACACAUGCAAGUCGAACGGAAAGGCCCUGCUUUUGUGGGGUGCUCGAGUGGCGAACGGGUGAGUAACACGUGAGUAACCUGCCCUUGACUUUGGGAUAACUUCAGGAAACUGGGGCUAAUACCGGAUAGGAGCUCCUGCUGCAUGGUGGGGGUUGGAAAGUUUCGGCGGUUGGGGAUGGACUCGCGGCUUAUCAGCUUGUUGGUGGGGUAGUGGCUUACCAAGGCUUUGACGGGUAGCCGGCCUGAGAGGGUGACCGGCCACAUUGGGACUGAGAUACGGCCCAGACUCCUACGGGAGGCAGCAGUGGGGAAUAUUGCACAAUGGGCGGAAGCCUGAUGCAGCAACGCCGCGUGCGGGAUGACGGCCUUCGGGUUGUAAACCGCUUUCGCCUGUGACGAAUCGUGAGUGACGGUAAUGGGUAAAGAAGCACCGGCUAACUACGUG
rnacentral:rRNA from 1 species